GUGCUUGCUUCAGCAGCACAUAUACUAAAAUUGGAAUGAUACAGAGAUCAGCUUGACCCCUGAGCAAGGAUGACAUGAACAGUUGUAAAACAUUCCAUAUUUUU
rnacentral:snRNA from 1 species